UCCCCCAUCCCUCCUCCACCUGCUUCUAUGAGGGUGUUACAACAACUAGAAUGCUAAUCUUGUAAGCCAUAUUAAAUCCAAAUCUUCCUGUGGCAAAUCCUGACAGAUUUGCCAUCUAAUCCAGAAGACACUAGUAGCUACAUCUUGUCCUGUCAAUAUCCAGUCCAAAAAUCCCCCCUCUUCCUUCCUCUCUUCCUCUGUUCAACCUGGAAAUUCCACCUACUUGCCAGGUGAUUGGUUCCUUUAUUCAUUAGGGGAUGGUUACACAAGGAUUCGCCUGGGUACAUGACUCAUUCCAGACAACCCCUCCUAAAGGCAGAAUUAACAUCAAAAUACAACAGCUUCAAGGCUAUCCACAUAUGGUUUACAAGAUUAGCAUUCUAGUUGUUGUGCCCAGAGAUUGAGUUAAUGUGAUGUUUUUCUUCACACAAAGGCUUGAUUGGGUUCCAGAGACAAAGGUACAGCAGCAAAGCAAGGGUUUGCCUGAUAUGCAGCACAAAGGCUGUGGGGGGGUUGCAGCUUGGGGCUGGCUGGGUAGCAACCUGCCAGAGGUAAUUUAGCUAGUUGGGUGGAGACAUCUCCAGAGCUCUGGGCCAGAGAUUCUGCCUAGUUGAGAACACCAGGCUGGAGCUAUGUGGCCUGCUGGUACCCAGUUUAGAACCCAAACUUGAAGAUCUAUUUUAAUAUUUCACUCAACAAGUUGCCUUUGUCAUGGUGUCUCAUCACAGACAUAGAACAGUGACUAAGACAGAAAUUAGUACCAGGGGGCAGAGUAAUACUGUUACAAAUUCUAGUAAGUAUUUGAAACAUAGUGGUACGAGAGUGGCAUAAAAUCUAACUCAGACCAAGAGGUCUCAGAGGAGAAGAAUGACCUAGAGACUAUUCAUGUGAUAAUUUGGCAAACAAUGUGUCUGCCUUUUUACCUUGCAUUAAAAAUGUGCAUGAGACUAAAUUGAAGAGUUUUGGAUUAAUGACAUUGACAGAGGAGAUCUCAAGCCAGCUCAGUCUUGACUGUAUUGUGUGGUUGUUAGUAAUCACUCCUAUGCUUCCCUAUAAUGACAGAAAGAAUCAAGGCAACAAAAAGAAAUGCAAAAUGUGCAGUUGGAGGAGGAAAGGAGCACCAGGAAAUAUGAUGCUAGAACCGGGAACUAAGUUUUGUACACAGGGAAAUAAAAGUUUAAAGAAAAGACUUAUGCUAAAUGGAAUAAAAGAGUGGUGACCUCAGGGCAAGACCCUCAUUCAGCUAAGCUUCCAACUUAUGAAAAGAAAUCAAAGGAAAGCUUAAGUAGUAAAGGAAACCAUGAACAGCAGAAAGCUGAGGGAGAUGUAACUGAAGGAGGAGGCCCCAAGUUUCAGCUUUGGCCAUGUGGUUCUGGCAUUUGAGUCAAGGAUGCAUGAAAGGGGUUUUGGACCCACUCUUUAUGGAUAAGGAAAGCCAUUUAUCCAUAGAGGGGCCAAGUAUGUGAAAAAGGAUGUUCCUGCAUAAGAGAUCAUGCAUAGAACGGCACAGAGAGGCCACUUCUGCAUCUAGAUUAUGAAGCCCUUAAGAUGUAGAAGAUUCCAGAGUUGUAGGAUAUCAGCAGAUAAUUACAAACUCGUUGUGAAAACAGCCCAAGAGAGAGAAUAGUAAUGUUGUGGUCAACAAAGCUGAAAGGAGUUGGAGAUCUGAAGAGUAGUUUGACAUCAGACAUGGAGAUGUAGAAUUUAGAGUUUGCACUGCUGAAUUUCACUGUUUUCUUGAUCCAGUAUUUCCUCACAAUCCUCCCUUUGAUACUUCUUGGAAAUGUAAAUGUAUAUUUUCUGCCAGUGCAUAUUGGAAAUAGAUAAUCUGCCUUUGGAUAUUGAUUUUACAGAAGAUUACAAGUAAUCAAUGAGUCUCAGAAGAGACUAAUUUUUGGACAUUUAAUCAGUAUUGAGGCUAUGAUAGACAAUGGAUGGCAGAACACAGUCCAAGAAUAGUCCUGUGAGAAAUCCGAAUGCUUGUGAGAAAAUUCCAAGAAGACAAGACAAAGAUUUGUGACCUCAGAUUCUUCAAAACAUGAAAAUGUUCUUGGAAUGUGUUUUGUGCUCCUCCCAGGUAUAGUGCAUAGGAAUGAGUUUACUUUAGAUUAUUCAUUACCACCUGACUAUUAUUAGUUUAUAUGCCUCUAUGGAGAAAGUAGUUUUUGCCACCAGUGCUUUCUCCUUGUAAUUACAUACUUUAAUCAGGUGACUCUUCUUAACUCUCACUAUAAACGGUCUGAUGCUCUGAAUAAAGUUGGCUGUUGCAUGAGACUAAUCUGCAUCACUUUUAGGCCCAACACUCCCUGAUUCACAUAGCCAGCUACAGCAGUAAACAUAUGGGGACCUUUUAAGUUAAAAUGAAUGUAUUUUUGCAUUAUAUGGUUACAGGCUUAGUGGAGCCAGGAAAUGAGUUGUGGUUUGAUUAUAAAAACAAAAAAACCCAUAUGUUCAUUAGUCACCAGGAAGUGGCAGGUAAGAAUUAGAAGGAGUAGGAGGAGUGCCUUUGUGUAAAUAGGUAUGGCCUUUGGGGUUCUGAGGUUCCCAAUGCCAAUGACAUGCCCAUGCUGUUUCUAUAUUUGCCAGAGGAUCAGGAUGUAGCUCUCAGCUACUUCUCUUAUGCCAUGCCUACCAGCUACCAUGGUCUCUGCCUGAAAGAAAAUUAAAAUUCAAGGUCUGUGACUCAUGCGGCUUGCUAGUUAGGAGGGCUUUUGGGGCCUAGAGCAAAGAACAAAGGGUGUAAAGUCAUCCCAGGAAACAACUAGCCAUAAAGAUAGGGAAGACAUAUAAGAAUGCCCGGACUGGACUGGCACCUCCCUAUCUCCCACCCUUCUGACCUAAGUUAAAUGUUAACCAGAUGCUCUGUUGUUACCUCAAUCUGCACAUACAGUUUGCUGAUAUUUAAACUGUCCAAUUGUGUGAAGCCGCACCAAUUCUUCCCCUACCCCCACUCUUCCUAUAUAAACCCCUAACUUUUGAGCCUCGUGGUUGAUACCUCUGUCUCCUGUGUGAGAUACAUGUUGGCCUGGAGCUCCGUCAUUAAACUACCUUGUGUGUUUGCAUCAAGACUGUCUCUCGUGAUUCUUUGGGUACACACUAUCUCAUGACUCAGGUAGGGGUAUCCCCACGAAGUUCUUUCAUUUGGAGGUCCCACCAAGAUCUGCGUGACACCCUGGAACUCUGAAGACCCCUUGGAGGUACGUUUGUGUGAGUCUUGUAUGUUGUUUGUUGUCUAAGUGUGGCGCUGCUGAGAGUGUUUGAGACCGGUUUUCUGGCAGCCGCGCUGUGGCCUGUGAGGACCCAGUGGCUGUGGAAGGGCCAUAGGCUGCAACCCUGGAAGAUGUUCCACGGGUGAAAGGGGGUGGAUGUGGAAUCCACCCCACUGGAGGUCUGGAGGUCGUGUUUGGCUGGCUGUUUAAGUCCAGACCUGGACAUGUGUGUUUAGAUGUACUAGUGUCUUGUGUCUUUGUUUUGUUUCUGUUUUUUUUUUUUUCUUUCUUUCUGAUUUUUGUUAUGGGACAGACAGUGUCAACCCCUUGUCUCUGAUUGUGGACUUGGACUGACGUUAGGACAGAAUUUGUCAGUGAUAGUUAAGAAAAACAACUCAGCGCUGCUUUACCUCAGGCAGACCUGCUCCCCCACAUGCCCCUGGCCACAACGACCUGGCAGUGCUGGCAGCCAGCACUCUGGAAUGUGGCCACAGACCGGACUGGGGACUCCCGGCUUUGGUGGUGGCAGUGGUGGCGCGGGGUUGGGGCUCGGUGCAGAGCAGCGCUGGGCCCCAGGAGCAAGUUGGCAAGCGCAACACUUCACUGGUGCCUGCCCCACCACCGCCAAGCACCUUGUCGCCCGAGGGGAUGAAGGGAGAGACCCAAGGGGUCCGCACUGGCACCUGCCAGGCUCCCUGAGAGUGGCCGAGACACCUGCCGCAGCUGGGGGGUGGGGGGGCAACUAGCAUCCAGAGUCACAGCUGUGCGCUGACCUCCCCCACACCUCCCCCACACACACACUGGGCCCCACUGCCACAGGAUGGAUGGACGGGAAGAAGAGGAGUAGACUGUGGGAGUGGCCAUCCAAGAGCGAGUUCCCUGGCUGCUUCUCAUACCUGCCUAAUUAUGUUUCCCCUUCCCUUGCAUCCCACCUGCCUGUCUCCAGGCUUUGGCAGUACCAGAGUGCCUCUUUUUAGCAGAAAAAGUGCUUUCACUUUGAGAUGUCAAUGGCCCAGCACCUCUGUGAGAGCUCCUUUACCUGUCCCAUGUGUCUUCAUUGGCGGUUCCACUCUGAGCUGCUGGCAGUGAGUCUGUUCCAAGCUCCAGCAAGGGAGACAUCUGCCCACUUGGGGCUUCUCCUUCCCAAGGUAAGGAGCACCUGUGAGUCUAACUGCCAGGCUCUGAUGAGGGUCUCAUCUCUGUGGGGAUGAAAAGUGUCCCAACAAUCUGACCAAGGUAAUAAGAAAUUAUAGAAGUUAGAAAAAAGACAGAGCAAGUCGGUAAGAAAGUGCAGAAGAGCAAAAUCAAAAGAAAAAAAGAGAGGAUGAAGAAGACAGAUGUAUAUAGAGGUCUAACAAGAAGUGAGCUUAGACUGUAAGGAAGAGCAAAGCUUCAGCAAUCUCAGGAGAGAUAGAUGACAGUGGCAAAUAGAGAAGUUAACAGUGAAGAAAAGUGAAGGAGAGAGAGAGAGAGAGAGAGAGAGAGAGAGAGAGAGAGAGAGAGAGAGAGGCGGGAGGCAGAAGAAAGAGAAAACAGGAGGAAUCGUAGACAAGAAAGAAAUUUGACUAGAAUUUUGGCCACAGUGGUAAGAGAGAGAAAAAAAGCACAGGACAUAGAAACCUGGGCAACAGAAGACCAAUGUACUUAACAGAAUUAAGUGAGUUUGAGUACCGAGCCUCAGCUAAAAAGACUCAGCUGUGUCAGACACUGAAGUUACUUAUUUGAGAUACACCCUUCAAGACGGGAAGCAGUGGCUAAAGGAAGCCAGAUAAAAGGACUAACUCAGAUCCCCACCCCAACUACACCAAGGUAAGUAAGAGAAUUCUUAGACACUGCUGGCUUCUGCAGACUCUGGAUACCUGGGUUGGUGACCUUAGCUGCCCAUGUACCCCCUAUCCAAGGAAGAAAAAGUGUUUGUGUGGAUCCCAGAUCACCAGAAAGCCUUUAAAGAAAUGAAAAAGGCCCUACUGAUGGCCAGCCUUGGCCUUGCCUGACCUAACCAAGCCUUUCACUCUUUAUGUGGAAGAGAGAGCAGGGGUCCAGAGGAGUCCUUACACAGACUUUGGGACCUUAAAAAAGGCCAGUGGCUUACCUUUCCAAUAAGUUAGACCCUGUUGCCAGCAGGUGGUUUUCUUGCCAUAGCUCUACUUGUCAAGGAUGCUGAUAAGCUCACUCUGGGACAGCAAAUAACUGUAGUGGCACCCCACAUUCUUGAAAGCAUUAUCCGACAGCCCCCUGACCAAUGGAUGACCAACCAGUGCUUUUGUUGACUGAACGAGUGACCUUCACUCCCCCUGUUGUCCUCAAUCCUGCUAUGCUACUGCCUGAGACUUCACUUACUCAUCACUGUGCUGACAUUCUGUCAGAAGAAACUGGUACUAGAAAUAAUCUGAAGGAUCAGAUCAGCCUUGGCCUGGGAGUUCAAACUGGUACACGGAUGGCAGUAGCUUCCUGGUUAAAGGUAAGUGGAAGGCAGGGACAGCAGUGCAGUGGUGGACAGAAAGCAAGUGAUCUAGGCCAGCAGCCUCCUUUAAGGGAUGUCGGCCCAGAAAGCCGAACUUGUGGCUUUGAUACAAGCUCUAUGAAUGGCAAAAGGGAAGUCUACACUGACAGCAGGUAUGCUUUUGCCACUGUACAGAGCAAUACACAGACAAAGAGGGCUGUUGAUAUCUGCAGAGAAAUACCUAAGAUGCUGUGGCUAAAUAGAAUCAGAUGGCAGAUCUAACCACCAAACAGGCAGCCCAAAGAGCAAUGAUCCUGACAGUCAAGGAGCCUGAAGAUUAUGAUGUCAGAGAGACCCGCUUUAGAUAUACCCCUGAGGACUAUCAAAUUAUGGACAAAUUUGGACUGGUAAAGGAAAUCCUCUAUGGGGUAGUAAAAACAGAAGAAGGAAAACUAGUCCUCCCAUGGGAAGAAGGACACAAGUAUGUUACCAACUUACAUUACUUGACUCACUUGGGGGCCAAGAAAUUAAAAGGUGUGGUUAAUGGACCUGCCUUUGUUGCCCAGGUAAGUCAGGGACUGGCCAAGAUAUUGGGGAUUGAUUAGAAGUUACAUUGUGUAUACAGGC
rnacentral:lncRNA from 1 species